GACGUUACCUACAGAAGAAGCACCGGCUAACUCCGUGCCAGCAGCCGCGGUAAUACGGAGGGUGCGAGCGUUAAUCGGAAUUACUGGGCGUAAAGCGCAUGCAGGCGGCCUGUUAAGUCAGAUGUGAAAGGACCCGGGGCGUUAACCUACGGAAUUGCAUUUAGUAAACUGGCAGGCUAGAGUCUUGUAGAGGGGGGUAGGAAUUUCAGGUGUAGCGGUGAAAUGCGUAGAGAUCUGAAGGAAUACCAGUGGCGAAGGCGGCCCCCUGGACAAAGACUGACGCUCAGAUGCGAAAGCGUGGGGAGCAAACAGGAUUAGAUACCCUGGUAG
rnacentral:rRNA from 1 species